UAAUCCUUGCUACCCGAGUGAGAGU
rnacentral:miRNA from 1 species